AUUGAACGCUGGCGGCAGGCCUAACACAUGCAAGUCGAGCGCGAAAGUCUUCGGAUGAGUAAAGCGGCGAACGGGUGAGUAACGCGUGGGAAUCUGCCCAGUAGUGGGGGACAACAGCCGGAAACGGCUGCUAAUACCGCAUACGCCCUACGGGGGAAAGGGGGGGAUCUUCGGACCUCUCGCUAUUGGAUGAGCCCGCGUCGGAUUAGCUAGUUGGUGAGGUAAAGGCGAACCAAGGAGACGAUCCGUAACUGGUCUGAGAGGAUGAUCAGUCACACUGGAACUGAGACACGGGCCAGACUCCUACGGGAGGCAGCAGUGGGGAAUAUUUGACAAUGGGGGCAACCCUGAUCCAGCCAUGCCGCGUGUGUGAAGAAGGCCCUAGGGUUGUAAAGCACUUUCAGUGGGGAGAAAAGUGAUUCACCUAAUACGUGAGUCAAUUGAUGUUACCCACAGAAGAAGCACCGGCUAACUCCGUGCCAGCAGCCGCGGUAA
rnacentral:rRNA from 1 species